GACGAACGCUGGCGGCGUGCUUAACACAUGCAAGUCGAACGGAAAGGCCCUGCUUUUGUGGGGUGCUCGAGUGGCGAACGGGUGAGUAACACGUGAGUAACCUGCCCUUGACUUUGGGAUAACUUCAGGAAACUGGGGCUAAUACCGGAUAGGAGCUCCUGCUGCAUGGUGGGGGUUGGAAAGUUUCGGCGGUUGGGGCUGGACUCGCGGCUUAUCAGCUUGUUGGUGGGGUAGUGGCUUACCAAGGCUUUGACGGGUAGCCGGCCUGAGAGGGUGACCGGCCACAUUGGGCCUGAGAUACGGCCCAGACGCCUACGGGAGGCAGCAGUGGGGAAUAUUGCACAAUGGGCGGAAGCCUGAUGCAGCAACGCCGCGUGCGGGAUGACGGCCUUCGGGUUGUAAACCGCUUUCGCCUGUGACGAAGCGUGAGUGACGGUAAUGGGUAAAGAAGCACCGGCUAACUACGUG
rnacentral:rRNA from 1 species